GUCUUUUCGUCCUGUCCAAAUCCAGCAAGGGGAAUUACAUCCUGAAGUAUCUAAAAGGCCAGCAUGUAAAAGGCUCCAUAGCUGUUGAUCAAAUCAUAAGUAUUGAAGUUGGCAUAAGAAAUUUUGAAAUUAUGGAAACAGUGAGGAAGAUGUUUAAAUGCCUUCCUGAGCAGGUGAUGUCCAUCGGUACUGGAAACAGAUGUUACUACCUCAUUGGGGACAGCAGGCAGGAAACAGAGGACUGGGUGACUCUGAUAUCUUCAGUCUGCAGGGAGGACAAACAAGGUG
rnacentral:lncRNA from 1 species